UUAGGCGGGCUUGCCCCGCUGGAGGGGGGCGCUGCGUCGCCGCAGCUCGCCAUGGCGAGGGCUUAGUCCGCCCGAAGCUAGAGACGGCGGUCGUCGUCCCGCGCGGAGCCGGGGCCGGGCCGGAGCGCACUGGGCGGGUGGUCCUUCCUACCCGGCGGCUCCGGAACUGGAGGGCGGCGACCGACCGGGCUGGGACUCGAGGUGAACAGCUCUGGCUGGGACCACAAGAAGCCUCUCUAGGAUGCUGAGGAAGACUUCCCUUUCUGAUAGAUGAGAGGUAUACAGUCUGGCCUCAAACUCACAACCCUACUGCCUACUUUCUGAGUGCUAGGAUUUUAGGUGUGUGCUGCUAUGCCCUGCCAGGCCUGCCUUGUGAUUCUUGGCCACAAGAGCCAUUGAACUCUAGGAUUACAUGGUAUUGGAAAACCAAAUCAGGCUGCCGAGAAUGCUGACUCAAGGUUGGAAAGUCCCUGCACCACAGCUGACUUCACUGCCACAGGGACAGGCGUUCCAUGAUGUUUCCUUCCAGGCACAAAGACCACGCCACCAAAGAAGAGCACAGUUAUCUUCACUCUUCUUUCCCUAGCCAAGAAGGACUUAACAUGUCACAGAGAAAGAUUUAUAGCAUAUACCAGACCCAGAGAGGUCACUGUGUGUUCUGAGUUGAUUCACAUCAAGAACUCAUGCUUGACUUUUGCCUAUAGACUCUACUUACCUUUCCCCUACGAAGACCAUUUAGGCGCCAACCAGAUGGGACUCCCUUGGAAUUUUGUAUUUUUAAGAUUCCUAUACUUAUAUACUUCAAUAUACUUAUAAUGAGAACUGGGAUGCAGUCUAGCUCUAUCCUUAGCAUGUAUGAAGA